ACCUCGAUGUCGGCUCAUCGCAUCCUGGGGGUGGAGAAGCUCCCAAGGGUUUGGCUGUUCGCCAAUGAAAGCGGUACGUGAGCUGGGUUUAGACCGUCGUGAGACAGGUCGGUCCCUAUCUGUUGUGGGCGUAGGAGACUUGAGAGGCCCUCUCCCUAGUACGAGAGGAUUGGGAGGGACGUCCCGCUGGUGUUCCUGUUGUCGCGCUAGCGGCAUCGCAGGGUAGCUAAUGGACGGCCAGGAUAAACGCUGAAGGCAUAUAAGCGUGAAACCUUCCUCAAGAAUAGGUCUCCUGGUCUUCGGACCGAAGGCUCCCGGAAGACUACCGGGUAUAUAGGCCGGGUGUGUAAGGCCAGCAAUGGUCUCAGCUAACCGGUACUAACAGCCAAACGCUUGACCGCA
rnacentral:rRNA from 1 species